rnacentral:lncRNA from 10 species
GUAAGAACUGGGCCUCAGGUGUGUGGUAGGGGAUUGGGGUAAAAGGUGACCCUUCCUGCAACCCUGGCAGGCUCCCUGGGCUGCAGAAGGGACAGCAGGGAGAGGAGAGUGAAUUAAUCCUGGCCUCCCUUCUUGGGUUCACUGUCAUGCUAAUUUUCUCCGCCUUUGAUCCAUCUCUCUAGCCCCAGCCCCUAACUCUGAGCAGGAGCAGGCGCUGGGUCUGGCCUGAGAUUAGGGGCUGCCUUGGUGAGGCCUGGGGCACAUCCUUCCAUGUGGCAGACUGGGGUUUCGCCCUUGGGAGGGGCUUGGGGGAUUAUAGCCCUGGUUACUGACCUGCUGUGGGCAACACACUCUCCUUCACCAGACUCAUCCUCUUUCUUCCUGACCGACCUUCUCCUCUCCAAAGGGGGCUCUGCUGUUCCCAUUUUGCACAAGAGCAGAGUGAGGCCCAGGGUUGAAAGGUCUCCGGAGGCUUCUGGCCACUGAGAGGUGGAGCCAGGCUGGGAGCACACAUCUUCCAGACUCCAACCCCGCCCUGUUUCCGUGAAAUGACUGGACUCUUCUAUGGACCCAGUGGAGCUCAGACAAGGGUCCAG